rnacentral:lncRNA from 1 species
GUGGUUGAGAAGCUUGUCUCCCAGCCAUGAGGUGUCUGGUUCAGUCCCACGGUGCGACAUCUUGGGUGUCUUCUUUACCAUAGAACCCACGCUGACAAAAAAAGCCUUGUGAGUGAAUUGUGUGGAUGACAAACGAUGAUGCAUCCGUGUUAUGUUCCAUAAUUUAAAUCCAAUGCAAUAAAAGGUUACCAAACUGAAAAUCCUGUCGGGCCUGGUCGCUGUUCAAAUAACUGAAUUCAAUAAGAGAAUGACUUCUUUUUUCUUUUAAACACAACUGACAUUCGAUAGCCGAGCACAUGGCGACAGCAGCCUGCUGUAAACCACCACCAGUCCACCUGGUACACGUUUGCAUAAUGCCAGGGAGCUGAUACGAGACAACUCCAGACAAAGCUAAAAACAACAGCCAAAUAUUACCCAAAUCAUUCUUCUUCAAUGAAGGCAUUGCUGGUGUAACUACCCCAUGAGGAAGGAAAAGGCGAGGAACUAGGUGAAGUUCCCUUUUUAUUUAUUUCUAUAUUCCUGCGUUUCACUCAAAAGGAAUUACGAUGAAGGAAAACCAUUACAUGUGAACAAUUUGGGAGGGGGGGGGAGAAAUGAUGAAUUAAUAUGAAAGGCAUAACUACAGAUUGAUGCUCCAUCUCUCCUGAGAAAUGCAUUUUUUUUAUUUUGUGCCAACUUUACCGAGAUACAUCUACGAUGGUGUAGACAACAGCCAUGCUGAUAAAAUUCAGAAAGCGAAAAAAAGAAAUUAGGGCGGGAUAUUCGAGGAUGUUUCAAACCCUAACAUUACAUAAUGUACGCCUUCGAAAAUGUUAUCUCUGCAAAAUUUCAUUUAGAAGUAAUAUAAAGAGAUGAGGAAACAGGAAAACAGGAGGGAGAAUAAUGUUUGGAAAUUCUUUCAAAGAAAAACAUUGUCAUGAACAUAAUUUACUAUAAAUCUAAAAAACAAAUAGAUUUUAAGAAAAAGUUUUUCAGAAAAUUACAAGAUAAAAUCGAGUGGGGCACUAAAGUGUAGUUAUGUCAUAUAUGUAGUACUACAGUAGUUAUGAUAAAAAAAUUUUUUCAUCUAUUGUUUUUCUAAGGUGAAAAAAAUACUAUAUUUGGAAUUGCCACUGUAUUACAAACCGGUCUGAUUUGUGAUGAAAGAUUUCCAGCCGCGAACAGACCAUGUGUGUGUGUGGUGUAUAGAGAGAGGGGGUAGGGUCAACAGAUGACACCGAGAGAACCUCAAUUAUAAAAAAAACACUUUAAAUUUCGUCCCCCAAAUCCUUACGGAUGUCCAAACUUAACUCGAAUCGAUCAGAGGUAUUGGAAGAGGCUGAGGUCAUUGCUGGGAUUAAAUCCAGUGAUUUUCAAGCAAAAUGGCUUGUUAUACAGCAAACCCCAAAAUGCUGCCCCAUAAAAAGUGUCACCCAGAACAGACUGCCUCAGUUUCCCCAGUAACGCUGUUGGAAAGACAGAGCUAGAAGAGCAAUGAAGAUAAAGAGUAAAGGGUCGUUAAAUGGAUCAGCCUGUACAUUGGUCCAAGAACUGCAUAAUCAAAGAGGGGUGUUAUGAAUAUCUGACAAGCUCUCCCUCCAAGCCCACCCACCACCAAUCUCAAAACUCCUCAUUUCAAAAGAACAUUCUCUUAGGUAAAUGGUGAACUGAUUCAACAACCUGAAAGUCAUAGAACAACAGAAUCAUUCUGCCAUUGUUGUUUUGAUGUGUGCCAGGCACACUGCCAAUAAAACUGAUAAGUUGACAAAACUUCCAAAAGCAAGAAUUUAUU